UUUAAGUGUUCUUCAGUCCGACAAAUUUCUCCAUUCAUUAUCUGGAUGAAUAUUACUGAAUCUUCACAAUUGGGCUAGACCAAGAUUGUGGAUACCUCUUGGUGGAUACCUUCAUUGAGGGAACUGACACAUGAGCAUCCUCAAGAAACAGCAAGGAAUAUUGUCAACAAAGUGUAAAGUAUAGUUGAAGAGAUGCUGAAGGUGGAGGUAUAAGGAAGAGAAUGGAGAUCAAGGGCCAGGAUGGUAAUUAAUUGGUCGGCCUGGUUGUGACCAUGAGAAUGAGUGGUUGAAGUGGGAUGAGACACAUCUUGAGACAGGCCUUUGGUUGCAUUAACUGAGGUGAUAAGACUUGUCCACUGUGGGUGGUGUCAUUCCCUGAAGGGAGCCUUAAACUGUAUAAGUGGAAAAUAAGAUCUGAGCAGCAGGAUGUAUUCAUGCAUGUUUUUUCUUGAUUGUAGAUAUGACAUGACCAGAUGCUUCAAGUUCCUGCUGCUCUGCCUUUCCUACUGUGUUGGACUUUACUGUAAACUUUGAGAUAAAUAAGCCUUUUAUCCAUUAAAUUGCUUUUGUCAGAGUACACUAUCACAGCACCAGGGAAAGAAACUAAGUCAGUAAUGGCUUCGUUAUUGUGUCUCUGGAAAGGGAGUAAUUUGUGAUCUGUAGUUGAUUUCUCAUGGGCUUCUAGUUUAUUAUUAUUGAACAUUUUUCAAUUGAUUUGAAAAGUUUUAUUAAGAGCCAGCUGUGUUAUAGUCAGAGUAGUGAAGAAAUGCUGUAGUUUAACAAUGUAGUUUAAAAUGUAGCUUUUCCCCUUCUGAUAUAGCAGUUGGUCACCUUCCCACCUGAAAUCUAGGCCAUGCUCACUCUGAAGGAAUUGCCUGCACAUGUUGGUAGAGGACACAUUUUGUUCUUCUGCCAUGACUCAUACAGACUGGAAGAUGACAGGGUGAGAAACAUCAGACUAAGUGUGGUUUUAAAUGUUAUUCAUUUUAAAUUCCUUGGAAAAUCACUCUAUUCAUUAAAUAUGAAUGAUUUUCUAAUUAUCAAGUAAACAAUUUCUUUACCAGGAAGGAAGGAACAAUCAAGUGUUUAAUUCUGAAGAACUCAUCACUGGAUGUCUCCAGAGAGGACUCAGAAAACCAAUGGAAGUGAGACAAACUGAAGUGUGGUUGGAAACUAGGCUGGGUAGCAGAGACAGUGUCCAAGCAUCUGGAUAAAUGGAUACAGGAGAUGAGAGACACUAUAAUAUAACAAUUCCACUAGAUGAUAAUAGACUAGUUGAAAGUGAAAGGAACUAUGUAUAAACUAACUUCGUUGUGAUGAAAACUGUUGUGGUGCUUUUAGAGACAGAGAGAAAGGUAUCUGGGCUGAGGUUCCCAGGGUGGUCUAUGGCCAGGGAUGUGCUAAUAAGCAUGGCUGAUGGCUUGUCACCCAUGUACAUACAGAGAACACUAAUUGAUUCAGUGGGUUUAACAUUAAAAGGGAGAGAACAUGAGAUUGGUAAGGGAAUGGAGGAUACUUGGGAGGAACUGAAGGGUAAUGGGCAGUAUAUAUGAUCAAAUACAUUAUAGAUAUGUUUGAAAUUCCCAAUGAAUAAUAAUAAACAAUUUCUAUAGAUAAUCUAGAGGCAAUUAUAGCAAGAGCCAAUGAUAUGCAGUCUUAAUUCAAAGACAAUACACUAUAUUUCUAAGUAGCACAUAUUUCAUUAAUUGGAAAAUUCAUGACUAAAUUAUCAAUCGUUUAUCUUUAAUUACUAAACCUGGAAUGCUGUAGGCAUUACCCAUGGUGCUCUAAUGCCUCCUUCAUAUCCUGUAUCUUGUUCUAACUCUCAUUGGCCAGAGUUCAGGUUCAUUACUGACUCCCUGUUUUGAUUGUGCCCCUUGCCUCAAGGGUCAAUGGAGGUGAUUAAUGACUCUAUUGGAAUUAACCACUUUCCUUCAACUUGGUUGUGAACCCAACAGUUUCUGUCUUUAUUUGACUGUAUGGAAAGCUGUAAUUGUGAAACACAAACAUGGAAUUACUUUUUAAAUCCAACAAAAUGAGUGGAACUAAAUUCUAGGUAAUUGUGCUUUUUUUAGGCUGGGUGUUGCAUUAAUAAAUGAAAUUUUCUUCUUAGCACUCUAACUUUUUAACUCUUUUGAUCAUUUUCAUAGUAUAAUUCAUUACUGUUUCCAAAAACAAUGCAAACUGCAAAGAGUCAAACCUACAUAAAUUAUAUGUACAAAAAGAUAUUCUGAAUUACAUUGUGGUGUCUGGCAUAAUGAAUUAUGCUAUGAUCUUCCUUCAGGAAUGUUUGCACUCUAGCCUUGGAUAUAAAAGUAUAUAUGCAGACUAAAUAUUCAUUAAUAUGUUUUACAGUGGAAAAUAUGUCAGCUGUACUUAAAUAGCUAUAUAACUUCAUAGGUCUCUCAACUCUUUAGAUGAUUUCUUGCCAGAGGGAUUAAAAUUAAGUCAGAAAUUCAGAUUUCUUUAACUGCUUCAUAUUGUUGAUACUUGGCUCUUGGCUGUGACAGAGAUUUUAGAAUUUAUAGUGGUAUUUUAGGUGUUUUCAAAAGACGAUGAAAUUAGGGUAUGUUGAAAUGCUUUUGUGCUAUUGCCCCGAGGGAAAGUGAUCAGCGAGAUUUAAUGAGCUAUGCCACUUAGUUAAUAAACUUGCUUCUGCUAAA